ACAUGCCUACAACAUAGUAUUAAUUCACUGGAUCCCAUUAGAGCUCUGCAGUUAAGCGCGCUUGGGCUAGAGUAGUAUUGGGAUGGGUGACCACUCGGGAAGUCCUAGUAUUUUACAUGCC
rnacentral:rRNA from 1 species